UUGGUUGAAAUUUGACUAAAUCGGUUAAAUUUGCAUUUAAAAUGUUUGUCGAUUUAUUUGACUGGAUCUGCGUUGGGUAAUCAAAAUUCCAGAUCAUAAGAAUUGUUCGGCUCGUUCCAAGUUUUUUUUUACAAUAAGAAUCAGAUUU